rnacentral:rRNA from 1 species
UACGUAGGGCGCAAGCGUUGUCCGGAAUUAUUGGGCGUAAAGAGCUCGUAGGUGGCUUGUCGCGUCUGCCGUGAAAGCCCAUGGCUUAACUGUGGGUCUGCGGUGGAUACGGGCAGGCUGGAGGCUGGUAGGGGCAAGCGGAAUUCCUGGUGUAGCGGUGAAAUGCGCAGAUAUCAGGGGGAACACCGGUGGCGAAGGCGGCUUGCUGGGCCAGUUCUGACGCUGAGGAGCGAAAGCGUGGGGAGCGAACAGG